GAUGCCCUAGUAAAUGCUGACCCAGGAGGGAGGUAGAUGCCACCAGUGUGUCCAUGCAGGUGGUUCCCUAUGGCUCUAUGGAAAGGUAAUCAGACAACCUGCCUAAAGAACCCUUUUCCUUGCUAUUCCCAAUGUUAGGGCAUUUCCAAAUGUUAUUUUGCUGAAGUGUGGACUGAAAUCCUAACAUUGCCAGUUCCAGAACUAAGAUGUGAUGCUGUGAUACCAGCAGAGCUAACCUACCCACUGGCAAGCAUGCUGCAAGAGGUCUAAAUGCUGCACCAGAUGUCUGUGAAUGGAGUGAAGAGCAGUGGCUCCUUGUGCUCAUGUUGGAGUUUACAGUGGUUAUGUCUGCAGAGCAGCAAGUGGCUGGCUGAGUAAUAACUGGUUUUGAGGCUGAGAUGAACUGUGAUUAGGCAGUUGAAAACUGACUAAUGCUGCAAACACUUGGGCAACACUUAUGAGAAAGUAAGUGCCAUUCUUAAAGCUUAAAAUCAUUCCCAGUCCUUGCUCCUGGAUAGCACAAUUGCACCUUUUUGUUUCUCUCAAGUACACG
rnacentral:lncRNA from 14 species